rnacentral:rRNA from 1 species
UGGGAACCUUCCCUAUGGUUCGGAAUAGCUCAGGGAAACUUGGGGUAAUACCGGAUAAGCCCUUCGGGGGAAAGAUUUAUCGCCAUUGGAUGGGCCCGCGUCGGAUUAGCUAGUUGGUGAGGUAACGGCUCACCAAGGCAACGAUCCGUAGCUGGUCUGAGAGGAUGAUCAGCCACACUGGGACUGAGACACGGCCCAGACUCCGUACGGGAGGCAG